UUGUGUUUAGUGCGUUUACAGUUGGAAGUGGAACAAUUAUUGAUAGUUGAUGGGUACUUCGGAAGGCUUAUUUUAUCUAGAAAAUAAUACAUUUUAUUAGGUUUUCCGUUUAUACGAUGACUAAUAGUGUUGUGAUUUUGUUACAUUUCUUUUGUGAUAAUAGUGAUUGCGAAAAGUUUGUUUAUAGUGUUUAAAAUGGCAUCGAAAGACAAAUGGGUUCGCCGGUUUUCCGUCGACGAGACCGCAAAACAUAAGAAUGGAUUUACUAUAUAUAAAAUAACUUCAGUGCUGUUUCCCAUCUCGUCCCCGGAGGCAGUGACGCUGGUGUCGGUGUGGAAGCGGUACAGCGAUGUGCAGCGCCUGCACAAGAGCAUGCGUUCGUUGCACGCGGGCCUGCAUCUACGUGGCACCUUCCCCACCCUGCCCAACUACAGCUACUUCAAGAGGUUUCAGCGAGAGGUGAUAGAAGAGCGCGCACGCACUAUCAAGGCUCUGCUGGAGUUCGUGGCGGAGCACAGAUUACUUUUCACCAGCACCGACUUUGUCAACUUCUUACAGACGGGGUACCCGGAGCCCGAGACGCCGCCGCGGGGCGUGAUCGCCGCGAUCCGCUCGUCGCUGCACCUGCCGCUGCACGACGCGCCACCGCUGGAGUACCAGACGGACGAUGAUGAUGUACCUCCAGAACAAAGCAGCGCAAUGGCUAAAGACGAAGUGGACUUCAUCUCACAAAUACCGAUAUACGGCGCGGCGGACGUCGAGAUACGCCAGUCUCCAGACAAACCGAAGGUCUCCGACAGCUUCGAGUCUCUCAACUCUCUGGGCAGCAUCGACAGCGAUCUCUACGAAGAGUUGAGCAAGGUGACCAUAGACAAGCCCAGGGUGUUGCCAGAUUUGAUUAACUUCGAUGCUCCGUCCACGUCGAGGUUCGAGGAUUACCACACCAUGAGAAGUGAGGGUGAUGCGGAGUCGGUCAGUUCGCAGAAUUUCGAGCCGGCGAGCGCGUGGGCGGGCUGGCUGCAGGCGGCGGCGCGCGGCGCGGCCGAGCGAGACCACGCGCGCGCCUUCCACUGCUACAAGGCCGCCAUCGAACUCAUGCUGCACGCCGCGCAGGCGGAGCCCGAUCCGCAGCGGCGCGCGUUUAUAAAAGAGCAAACAAACAAAUACCUUUCGUUGGCAGAGGCGAUAUACAAGGAGCAUUUAUGUACCGAGGAACAAGAACAAAAUGUCACCAGCGGCGGCGCGGGGUGCGUGCGGGGUGCGGCGGGCGGGGCGGGCGCGGCGGGCGCGGGCGCGGUGCCGGCGCGGCUGCUGCGGCGCGCGGCGGCGGAGCUGGCGCAGUACCGCGUGCUGGGCGUGCUCGGCGCCAGCGUCAUGCUCGUGCUGCACCGACACCUCAACGCAUGCUACGCCAUGAAGGUGGUCAGAAAAAUCCCAAACAACUUAACGGAAUUCGACGAAUAUUUCUUACAACGAACGAACGAGACUCGCGAGCCGAUCCUGCCAACGGACAUCCCCUACAUGGUCACCCUACACGCGUACAUGGAGACCAACAAUUUGCUAUUCCUCAUCCUGUCCUACGCGCCAGGGGAAAAACUAUUCGACUACAUAAAGCGAUACAUCAGGACUGCGCCGGACACACCAAAGAACCACCCUAGCGCCGACGUACGAAACGAAAAUGUACCGGAAAAGACGGAUACGGAUAUACCGGAUACGCCAGUUAGAGAAAGCAUCAACAAUAACUCUCAUGAUGAUGUUACCGAGUUGUUGUUGAACUCUCAGAAGCUGUUGAAGAAUGUGGAUAAGGCUUUGAGCGGACCUUGCGAUGACCCGGAGUGUGUGGGGGCAGGGGAGGCACCAGGGGAGACCAGUGAUAGGAACGAGAACGAAGAUGCUGUAGCGAGUCAGUCCCCUGGUUGUGUGCGCAGACGCCGCUCCCCCGCCGCGUGGUGCCGGCGGCGGCGGUGCGGCAGUGGGCGGCCGAGAUCCUGCUCGCCGUCGACAGUCUGCACCACACCGGACUCGUCUGCGGAGACCUGUCGCCAUCGGAUGUAUUACUGGGUAGCGGAGGCCAAGCCGUCCUCACAUACAUGCUGCGCCACCCGUCGCCGGGCGUGUGGGAGGCGCGGGCGGCGCGCCUGCGCGGGCGCUGCGCCGCACACGUCGCGCCCGAGGCCCGCGCGGGGGUCGCCGGGGUCGGCCCCGAGGCGCUGACCCCCGCCGCUGACUGGUGGAGCUACGGCGCGCUGCUGUACGCACUGCUCUGUGGGAAGCCGCUGUGCUACUACCACCGGUCGGGGUUCACGAGCCACACCAUACUGCACAUACCGGAGGGGCUCAGCGUCGAGGAGGAGUCUAUACUCACACAGUUGCUAACAUACGAGCCGUCCGAGCGUCCGUCAGUCGAAGACAUCAAGCAGCAUCCGUACUUCAAGCAAGUGGACUGGACCGCCGUGUACAACGCGUGGACGCCGCCGGACUGACGCGCGACUGAGGCGCCGCUUGACGGACGACGCGACGAGUAGGCUUGAUCUGAUGGAUGUAGCUUGGAAAA
rnacentral:misc_RNA from 1 species